rnacentral:tRNA from 1 species
GGGUAUAUAGCUCAGUGAUAGAGCGCAUGCUUAGCAUGCACAAGACCCUAGGUUCAAUCCCCAGUACCUCCU